CUGAAUUUCUUUUUCUGAAAUGAAACUAUUCAUAAUCUUAAUUUUGUCCAACAAGACAAAAGUUAUUGAUCAUAUCAUUUGAAGAUUCUUUUUAGCAUUAAUUUGAUGGCCUUAUACCAAAAAGCUAUUUUGUUUGGGCAAUGUUUGUUUUUGCUUUAUCAUUAAGUACUUUAUAAGUACAGUCAAUAUACUUCACAUGGGAAAAUAAAG
rnacentral:misc_RNA from 1 species